CAAAUCUCUCUAUGAUAUUCUCUCCUAAAACUCUCUGCUGAAAAUAAGAAUACAAAGGUGGCUCAAAGCUCUCUUGCCUCCUAACAGUUAGGCAAGUAUAUAUAUAUUAGGUUAAAAACUCGUCAGGGGUAAUCUUGUAAUUUUGUGAAGUAUUGGGUUUAAAGUCGGUUGGAACCAAGUCGUGCUUCCGCGUCUCGACAUCGAGCGAUGGUACAGGAUGUACAUCAAUCGAUCUUAAUCUUCAAUCGUUGAGGCUCCUCUUCUGUAUCGAUCGACGACACUGGAUGUGCAUCGACCUCUAAUGGUCAUCUCGAAUGAAUACUCAUUUAAGCUCCUAAAUGCUCCAUAAUCAUCACUUUACUCCAAGAUACUUC
rnacentral:lncRNA from 1 species